rnacentral:lncRNA from 1 species
CUCCAAAAAAAAGUCUCCAUUAUUAACAGUAACAUUAUUACAAUAUUCAGUAAUAGUAACACAUGCAAACCACUAGUACUAGUAAAAUAAGAUCUGUUACACACAUACAAACGACCGAGGGUAUAGCUGCUAGGACACACUAACGUCGUAAAAUCACGGAGUAUAGCUAGCAGGACGCAUAACCUCGACCGUGGGCCUAUAUAUGAUCUAUAUAUAUCGAUCGAACAAUGGAUGCAUUGAUCGCCGAGACCGAGACGAAUGAGGGUUGAGGAGAUUACUACCCCCUCGACGUGCCUUGGCGGCUCAUUCUCGGGAUGGGUUUUGGGACUUCGAAUUCGUUCUUCGGCUUGGGCUCCGGCUCCUUGAUUGGGUUCUUCUCGCGCGUCCUGUGGGUCUUGCUUUGCUCGACCUGCUUCUCGUGCUCCUUCUUCUUCUCGUCGUUGCCGUGGGGGAUCUUGUUUGGAUGAUCCAUGGAUGUAAUAAUGUAGCAGCUGCCUCUGCGCGUUGCACUGACAAACUGCCACAGCCGCUCCUUGCUUGCUCUGUCGCUUGGUCUCGAGGGAGGGAGCGUAGAGAUAUAUAAUAGGAGAGGAUUGUUUGAGCGACUUACUUGACCUGUUAUUCUAUGAGCAGCUU